rnacentral:snRNA from 2 species
AUACCUUUCUCGGCCUUUUGGCUAAGAUCAAGUGUAGUAUCUGUUCUUAUCAGUUUAAUAUCUGAUAUGUGGAUGAUUUGCUAGUGGACAUACUCUCA